rnacentral:lncRNA from 1 species
CUGAAUUUAUAACAUUGCAUCAAAUAUAUAAGAUGAAUAAAAUUCAAUGGUACCAGUACCAAUAGCAAAGAAUACAGAGAGUUGUAACUAGACAAACAGCUACUGAAAAAUAGCUAAAAAUCUAUGUAUGAUAAGGCCCAUUGGAGCCAAAGUUAACAUGACACAAACACAUUUAUCUUAAUCAUGUGCAUUAAACAACAAAAAUAAUGAUAAUAUUAAUAAUGCUAUCUAGUCAAGGAAAAAAUAACCAGAAACUUUGUCUAAAAAAUUCUGGCAAAAAUAAAUCUGACUAAGUAGCAUUUGUUUUUUUUUUUUUUUUUGUAACAAAAAUGCUCAAAAUUACAUUAAAAUUAUAGCUGAGAAUUGAGAUCAAAUUUGAGUUGAUUUUGCACCCACAAGCCAUGACAUGGAUUCAGCUGGCUUAUUAAUUUGAUAUGGUGCAUUGGCAGCAAUUCUGUAAAUACAUAACAAGGAAACAAGUUAGAAAAAGUGUAAAAAAUAAAUUAGGAGAAAAAAAGGUUCAAAUAUUAAUUAUGAGUUUUUAUUUUGAGGCAAAAUAUCAAUUUUUACAAGUUUUAAUUUAAUCGAGAGUGCCUACCUAUCCUUUCUCUUCUCCAGAAACCGAUGAAGCGAAGCUUUCCUCAUAAUUGGGAGAUCUGCACAUAAAGAAAAUUCAUGAUCAGAAAAACAUGAUCCAAUUUUUCGUGUCAUCCGAAUUUUAAGUGGUAAUGGUUUCAAGAAAUUACCGCAAAGAUUAGGUCUGGAAGGCACUUGAAGGUGCUCAUUCAUCGAGCCGGUGCCGGUGGCAGUACUAGGGAUGAUGUUCACGGUAGGAACAAUCGGAGUGGUUGUGUUAACCGAAGUUCUGACCAAAUUAGGAGGAAAUGAAGGCUGGCUCUGUGUGUAAGUGUACACAGAAUUGUUCUGACUUUGAGAGAUUCCUUUGUUAGCAAAAGCCAUGAGCUCCUGUGCUUUAUCGGCAGGAAAAUCAUCGAAUACAAUAACUUGACCGUUAUAAAACAUUGUCAAUUGUGCAGCUUUAGGUCCCUUGAUAGCACUGAAAAUUAUUCAUACAACAUCAUAUAUUAGUCUCUAAUUGAAGGAAAAAAAAAAAAUUAAUAAUUUGAACUAUAUCGAGAUUAUUAAUAAUCUGAACUAUAUCGUCAUUACUAAGCGACUGGCUCGGUGCACAACUUAUCCUCUACAAUUGCAGUAUGGUGUUACAGCUGUAGCGAACGUUACAUUUAGUGAGGGAAAUUUGAUCUCUCUAAAUCUGACGUUCUUACAGAAGUAGCACCAUAUCGUAUCUUUAGAGGAUCUAAAUCCUCUACAAGUUGUUUCCGCGAAUUGAGCCUUUCGGCAAGGCGACAACCAUAUCAUCGCGCUAGCCGCUAGGGCUCGCUCUCACGAUCUGUCAUCUCUCAUAAAUUAAUUUUUUACAGACCUAAUUUGGUAUGAAAUGAAAUUAAUUAAAAUCAGAAAAAGCAAAAAAAAAAAAAACUCACUUGGAAUUGUUCAAAGCAGCUUGUGGAGUGAGCAAAUCCAUAGUUGUAAGGUUCUUUUGUGACAAAUUGUUUUCCAUGGUUGGAAACAAGUUCAUGGUUGUUGCAGAUUGAGAAGAAGUCUCAGAAGAACCUAUAAAAAAAACAAAAAAUAAAACAAAUUUAGAAAAACCAUUGAAGAGAAAACAACCUAAAUUGACAAUAUUACACAAAAAUAAAAUAAAAAAAAUUAACAAAAUAAAUAAAAUUAUACCACAAGAUUACAAUCUUAUCAAAUUUAACAACCUAUCUACUAGAUAAUAACAAUUAGAAUUAUGAAUAAAUCAUCCAUUAAUUAGAGCUAUAAAUUAGAUCUAUGAAUUUUAAAAGUCUCAACAAAUAAACAACAUGGAUUCAAUUCAAAAUAAAAAUAAACACAUGCAAUUGAAUAAUUUUAUAAAAGGAAAAUAUUUGAAAAUUUAGAUAUAGUUCAACCUAACAAAAAAGGGAAAAAAAAUUAACAAAAAUAAAUGAACAUAUAUAGAUAGUCUACUAGAAUUUAAUUAUGAACCAACUAAGAGGAAAGGAAUAAUUAACCAUUAAGAAACCAAAUGUUAAAAAAAUAAUAAAACACACCCACAAAAAAAAUUUCAAAAGGUUGAAAAAAAAAAAAAAAAAACCAAACCCAGAAACAAAAGACGAAAAAUUCGGAGAAAUUAAGGUUCCGUACCAGAAGGGUCUGUGUUGUUGUUGUUGCAUGUGAUACCAAGAGAAAGAUCUUUGAAGCAACCCUUUUCCUUAAUAUAUUGACUCAAUAAACUACAUGUUUGAGAGAAAGUUGUUUUCUCCGGUGACUUCGCCGGUGGUUUGUUGCCGGAAACUUCUGAAUAUUCCGAUGAGGUAGACAUAGUUGAAGAUGAUGAUAUUCAAGAGAGAGAAAACAAAGCGCGUUGUAAUAAGA